rnacentral:lncRNA from 1 species
AAAGAUCACUUCGUUUAUCUGCAUAUUCGAUCAAUCCAUAAACCCCCGAGUCCGAGAAAGAAAAUAAUAGGGUGUUGCUAAAUGUACCCAGCAAAUAACUAAGUAGACCUAGCAGUGAAAUUUUUGCCUCUAAUCUUCCGAUACUACCCCUAUUUUCUAACAACCUUAAAUUUUAGAAAUCCUUUUAGAAAAUAACAAUUUG